rnacentral:lncRNA from 1 species
AGAAGCAAGGGCAAGUGGCAGAGAACCAGAAUCUCCAGAACCCGCUCCACCCAUAUAACUGAACCCGAACCCGGAUUCAAAUUCGGGUCCAAAGUCCACAAUACUGGUAAUCAUGGGGAGUAACCGGGUCUGGCAAAUCCAAACAUGCUAAAUCAUCAACGCCGACUCCAUGCAGGUAAGCACAAAACUGAAAGCUUAAAUUUUUAUUUCUGGGUUUCAUGUAAAGCUUUAUAAAUUAACUCGUCUCUUUUUCUUUUUUGGUAAAUUUGUUCUUUGGCCGUGUUUUAAUAGGUAUACAAGGGAUUAGAUGUUCUUACUAAUAACGUGCCCGUCCAAGACCAAAAGGGUCUGUUUAGUUUUCAUUUUGAUAGUUAAAUAGUUAAUAUAUAUGAUUGCUAAUGUGUUAGUUUUAGUAUUCCCUGAUUUGUAUUUGUUGAUAUGGAUCUUUGGCUAGGAUUGCCACUUUGUUGGGCACAAUCAGCCCGAAUGUUGAAUUUACAGCUAAACAUUUUUGGGAUGCCGCUAUUCCUGUAAGAUAUUCUUAGAAAAGUUAGCAAUUUUUGUUGUGAGAUUAUUACUUCUAUUGCAAUGUGAAUAUUACUUGCAGCAUUUUUGGCGGGAUCAUUGUGAAUUGCGGAUUAUAAAUGACGGUUGUAAUUGAUGUUUUGUUUUUAUAAUGUCUGCAUGUGAAUUAAAUUGGUUUCAAGUAGGCCAUUUUGAAUUGAAGGUGCAAUGUGGUUAUGUUGAGCUGAAAAUUGAAGUACAGGUUGUGCUCUGCUCGUAUAGAAUUGAUUAGCACUUGAGCAUGGUCAAACUAGUGUUCGGGGUAGUCAAUUAUUGCUUUUAAUCUUGGGUGCUCAAGUGUACUGGAACUUGAGUUGGAGCUGGAAAUUUUUUUUUUUAACGAGCUUAAUUUAGUAAGUAUACCAGUAAAAUAUUUUUUUUGGAAAUGUAUAAUAUACAUGAAGAAAUUAGCUUCAACAACUUUGCUAGCCAAGUAUCCAACUUGAGCUUGGUUAGAAUAUGCACUCAAGUGAUUGGUUACAGCCAAGUGGUGUCAAGUUUUUGAGUGCAUCAAGCUUGCUCGCGAGCAGCUUGGUUUUUUUGUGGAACUAAGCUGAAGUUUGCUGCAAAGCGGCACAAUGCUUCAAUCUUUUUUGUUGUUGGUUUGUUACAACUGGUAGUGCCUUGCUAGUUGGCUUUGGAAGUUCCAAAAUGAGCCAGAAACUCUUAUAAUGUUUUUCCCGAUCCAUGUACUCCUUUGAGGUUUCGAAGCCAGACCUGUGCAUGAGAUGAUACAAUUUAAUUUCACUGAUUUUGUGAACUCAAGGGAUGAAAAUCUUUUACAGAGAAAGCCAUAAUAUCAUAAGCAUAAUUGACAAAGGACGAGAACCAGUAGGAACAGAAAGUUCCCCUUUUCUAAUGCUAUUUUGUACAUCAUUAAUAGUUUCACUUUGUCUUAUUUGUCUGAGAAGCUACUAUUCUCAAGAAGCUGUAUUAGUGUGAAAUUGUUUCAUUGUGCAUCCUUUUACUGGUUCUUUUUGGCCAUCACAUUCUAUACUUCAUUCAUGAUUGAUUUCUAGAUAAUCAAGGUGAUAUGAUCCCGUACACGAUUUCCAGCCAUAGUUGGAGGAGGAAGUAAUUAAUAUAUUCAGGUAAAUCUUUAUUAACUUUUAUGUCAAAUUGAAACUGCCCUCAAUCCAGCGUCUAGACAGUUGGACUCUGACAGCGUUCCGGUUAUCUUGUUUUUUGCUGGCAUGUUAUAAGAUAUUACAUGUCUAGAGAUAUAUAUAUGCAACUCUUUCCUCCUAAAAUUGAUAUUUCACAGCGUUAUAUUCGUUUUUUUUUUAACAUAAUACUGUGUAGACUUUGAUACUCCUGUUUCCUCCACCAUUGUCUCAUGUCUGGGCUCUUGUAAGUCCGUUCCUUGUGAUGAAUCCCGGGGACAUGGAAUGAAACUCUUCAUUUGGUAAUCCUGGUAAAGCUUUUUUCUUUUAAUAUCUACAUUUCGAUUAAAAGAUGGCCCAAAUAUAUGUCUGAAUGGUGAAAUUUAUGUGCGUGCAAUGCUGCUUUUUGACAGGCCAUAAUGUUCGCAAUUGUGUCUCUCUUUUUGGGGGUUUUCUGAAGGUUCGAAGAGUUAAGGUUGGAAUAAGAGCAGAGAUUGCUAAGACAUUAAAAGCCAUGAAGUUUGUUGUAAAAUGACACAUACAAAUCCCUUGUCUUACACUGAACUAUGCAAAAAUUGAUGAUCACUCCUUAACAAGCUGCAGAAGCUUCUUCACCACACGAUCGACCUCUUCAUCUUCCUUCUCCUUUAUCUUUUUUGGGGUAAGUACCUUCUCCUUUACCUUGCUACUUAAAGAGUUUUUUAACUUUUUUUCUGAUUUUUCCCCCUUCUUGCACUACAACUUGUUUGAUCACCCAUGCAAUCUCUCCCUCUCUGAAUUUCCCAUUUUCCCAAGCUCCGCAACCAAUCUUGAAUUCAAGGGCUGAUCAAGUUGCAUAGGCAUUGCAAUAAUUGGAACAUCGAAUGCUAUACUCUCAAGUGUUGACUCGUGAAUCCUCAAUGCUUGGAUGGCUCAGUAUUUUCACUUGUGGCGCCCAACCUUCCAUAACCAUACCUCUUUCUGCUACCCUCUUCUGAAAUCCUUCCGGUAAUACUUCCAGCAAACUGGUAACAUUUUCUCUUCCAUGAAAUCUAACCACCCAUAUGAUGCUCGCCAUGCUCAAUUCUAAACCAUAAGCAAUCACUUCAAUUUCUUCUUUGGAGAGAAAAUAUUCGGUCCCGAAUGAGACAAAAACAACAGGAGGAGGGCCCCUUUUGCUCAGCCACUCAAAAACACAUAUCACUUGAUUUAUUUUCUGGUUCUUGAACAAGAGGACCCACAGGGAUCACCUCUUUUUUGAUCUUCAGAGAGUAAUAAUCGAUAUGUUUCUGUUCGAUCUCACUUAAUGUCUUAACCAGUACAAAAUUUGAAGAUUUCUCAAUGCAUUGGAAGUAUCUUUCCUUGUUUGUGAGACCAUUUGACACAUCAUACAUGACUUGCACGAGUUUCUGAUGCGUAUUUUUAUUGGCAAAUUCAGCUCCUGAAACGGGUAAUCCAAAGUGGGACAACCAGCAGUGUUCGAAGAAGGCACAGGUUGAUGCAGCACUAACUAGGAAAAGUACAGAUGGGAUGCUCUCUUCUCGAGCCACAGCUGCUGGUCAAGGUUGUAGAAAAUCACAAAUUACAAGGUCAAGAAAAUAGUCUUUUCCUUCAUCAAAGGCAAUUUUGAGGAAAGGCAAGAGAUGGGGUGGAAGGAUUUUGAUGGAGUGAUACUCUAGGAGGGAGUUCUAAGGUUGAAGGAAGAUAAUGAAUGUCUACGAAACGAAUCGAAGAAGAAUAAUUGUAUUUUUCAGCAAGAUAUUCUGUAAAUGGACAUAAAUUAACAGGGGUGGAACAUAUAAAUACCUGGAAAUUUGAAUUUCUGCUGGUAAGUUUCUUGGCUAGGCUAGCUCCAGGGUGAUAAAAGAGCACCUGUCAUAUCUAGAACUGAAUGGUUUCCACAACUGGUAAACCAACCAGAAAUUAGGAAAACAAAAAGAGUAAUUGGCAGCAGAACCCAUGUGCAGAUAUGCAAUAAUGCAAACAAACAGAAA